rnacentral:rRNA from 1 species
UACGGAGGGUGCAAGCGUUAAUCGGAAUUACUGGGCGUAAAGCGCACGCAGGUGGCUGAGUCAGUCGAUUGUGAAAGCCCUGGGCUUAACCUGGGAAUUGCAGUCGAUACUACUCAGCUAGAGUAUGGGAGAGGGUAGUGGAAUUCCCGGUGUAGCGGUGAAAUGCGUAGAUAUCGGGAGGAACAUCAGUGGCGAAAGCGACUUCCUGGACCAGUACCGACGUUCAGGCACGAAAGCGUGGGGAGCAAACAGG